UACGAAGGGUGCAAGCGUUACUCGGAAUUACUGGGCGUAAAGCGUGCGUAGGUGGUUUGUUAAGUCUGAUGUGAAAGCCCUGGGCUCAACCUGGGAAUUGCAUUCGAGACUGCAUAGCUAGGGUGCGGAAGAGGGAAGCGGAAUUUCCGGUGUAGCGGUGAAAUGCGUAGAUAUCGGAAGGAACACCAGUGGCGAAAGCGGCUUCCUGGUCCAGCACCGACGUUCAGGCACGAAAGCGUGGGAGCAAACAG
rnacentral:rRNA from 1 species